rnacentral:lncRNA from 1 species
UCCUUCCUACGCUGCACACACUUUUCCACCAAAAAAAAUUUAUUCCCCUCACCACCAUAGCUAUCAGCCACCAAGCUUCCCUUCCACCAUUUCCUCCUCCUUCUCGCUGUUUUUUUUUACUACCGCAAGGUGGGAAGGUGUCCACUCUUCUGUCAUCAUCGGAACCACCACCUGUAGCCAUUUUCUUGCAAAUCCAACACCGAAAUCUCACUUUUUAAUGAUUAUAACAAAAGUGGAAAGAAAUUAAGAACCACAGAAAAAAAAAAUUUAACAAGAAGGGACAAUAAAAUUUUACUUUAUGAACACAAAUGUGUAAACUUUGAAAAGAAAGAGUACUUAAAGGGACAAAAAAAUUGAAACAAAAAGAAUUCGGCACAAAUAAAGAAAAAGUGAAGAAGAUAAGAAACUUCAAUAACACACAAAAUACAAAGAUAAACAAACAUCAACUUGAAGCAAGCUCUGAUAUAAAAUGAUAGGAAAUCGUCAUCUUAGCAAUCAUACACCCCAAUAACUAAUGAGUUAUGAUACAUAUGGAAUGCAAGAAAACACCCUCCAAUUAAGAUGAUUCCAAAACCCAAUGAUCUCCUUAAGUGAAGUUAGGAAAAAACUAGUUCCAACAAUGAAACUAGCACUUGAAUUCAACUCCAAACGCUACAAACCAAGUAUGAUUUAAUAAGUUAAGAGUUAAACACAAGAUCCUAGUUAGAGAACACCACAAACUAAAAAAUAGUUUGAUAAGUUCAAAGUUCAUGCAAGAAUUUAAGCAAAAACACUCACAAAGAGCAAAUAAAGAUUAUCAUUCAUUAGUUGAUUUUUACAAAUAAAUUUGGCUUUGAUAUUUAUAGCCAAAACAAGACAAAGAAACCUAAAUGGAUGUCUUUUGAGCUUUCUCACGUUUUUUCCUUUAAUUCCCCCUUAAAACUCAUUAAAAGUGGCUAUUUUUACAUUGAUGUCACUCAUUUUGUAACUCUAAAUGACAAUUAAUUAUACCAUAACUUAAGAAAACCUAAUAAAAGUGAAAAUAAAAAGGCUUCAAAUGAAUUUUAUUGGACCUAUGAGUUCAGCCCAAACUUAUUGUACUAAAUUGACGAUUUUGGUUCCUUUUCGCAAUCCUAAACCUUGGACUGAGCCUUGUUGUGUUUGAAUACUCUAAAUGUCUUUAAUUAACCCCAACAAAGUUUCUUGCAUCCUUUUGGACUUGGCUUUUGUCAUUGAACCUCCUUGAAAGCUGAAAGGAUCAUUUGUAAUUCUUGUCUUUAUUGCAUUAGAUUGGAAUGUCUUUAUUGCCAGUCUAGGAUUUUUUUCAUCCUUAGAAAUAAACAAGAAAAAUCGACAACCCUCUUGAUUAAUACAUUUGGCCUUAAUUCUUCAGGGUUCAUUAGGAUUAAGCUUCAAUUUCACUUCUCUAGCUACUACAUAUUUAACAAUGGCAUCUCUUACCUCAGUGGCAUUGGCAAAGGUCAUCUGAAGAUAAAAAUAUGUACUUCCAUCUACCUCAUCAUAGCUAACCCUCUCCCUCCCCUUCACAUACAAGCCAUCCUCUAAUUCCUCAUCACUUGAAUUUUACCAUAAUUUUUAUCUUGCUCACCAUCCUAAACAACUUCUCAUUCACUCACAAAACCUGCAGGCCCUAAGUAAGUGUCUACCACUAUCUCAUUCUCAAGUUGAGGCUCCUCACUAAUUGUAUUACCAACACCACCUACUGCCUCUUCAGCCACCCCUAUACGUUACUAUUAGACUGCUCAUUCUGGUCCUCAUAAAUAGGACCCUUUAUAGCAAGCACCACAAAGAACAAUUUCAGCCUCAUCUACAUCAUGCAUUACAUAUAACUCUACGUCUCUAACCCAACUCACUUUUGAUAUGUAGUUUAAUACCCUCCUAACCGAUGCAUCAUCUUCGACUAAAAAUAACCCAUCAAAUAACUCGUUACUAGGUUAUAGCACAAAUAUAUUUUUGACAGUAUAAAACCUUAGCUCUUUUUUAUAUUAUUAUAUCAUAAUACGAAAAGUAGUCGGGAUCAAAGUUCUGUACAAUAGCGACUUCUCCACCCUCAUACUCAAGUAAUUCCUUCAACACCCAUUUACCACAACAGUUAAAAUGUAAGUUAACGCUGUUGUCCAUGAUGUACAAAGAAUAAAAAUGAAAAUAAUAAACAAUCAAUAUUAGCAAAGUCAUAAUACAAGCACAGAUGAACCACAAAAGCACAAAUGAUCCAUAAGCACACAGAUGAACCACAAAAGCACAAAUGAUCCAUAAGCACAGAAUGUUGCAACACAAAUGACAUGACCACAUGCAUUGAAUAUACAGAAUAAAAGAAUAACAAAAAACUCACAAUUUGCACACUUUAAAAGAGGGCCACACGCUUUGUAUAUAUACAGAAUAAAACAACAGAAAAGGUCACCAUUUCCACCAUAAAUAAAAUAAGAAAAGGAUAGUCUUACUCACCUGUCUCAGUUCCCUUCUUUCUAUUCUUAAUUCC